AGAGUUUGAUCAUGGCUCAGGAUGAACGCUGGCGGCAUGCCUAACACAUGCAAGUCGAACGAGGGCUUCGGCCCUAGUGGCGCACGGGUGAGUAACGCGUGGGAACCUGCCCUGUGGUACGGAAUAACUCCGGGAAACUGGAGCUAAUACCGUAUGUGUCUUGAGGGACAAAGAUUUAUCGCCAUGGGAUGGGCCCGCGUAGGAUUAGCUUGUUGGUGGGGUAACGGCCUACCAAGGCUUCGAUCCUUAGCUGGUCUGAGAGGAUGAUCAGCCACACUGGGACUGAGACACGGCCCAGACUCCUACGGGAGGCAGCAGUGGGGAAUAUUGGACAAUGGGCGCAAGCCUGAUCCCAGCAAUGCCGCGUGAGUGAUGAAGGCCUUCGGGUUGUAAAGCUCUUUCGCACGCGACGAUGAUGACGGUAGCGUGAGAAGAAGCCCCGGCUAACUUCGUGCCAGCAGCCGCGGUAAUACGAAGGGGGCUAGCGUUGUUCGGAAUUACUGGGCGUAAAGGGCGCGUAGGCGGUACUUCAAGUCAGGCGUGAAAGCCCCGGGCUCAACCUGGGAACCGCGCUUGAGACUGGAGAACUAGAGUUCGGGAGAGGAUGGUGGAAUUCCCAGUGUAGAGGUGAAAUUCGUAGAUAUUGGGAAGAACACCGAUGGCGAAGGCAGCCAUCUGGACCGACACUGACGCUGAGGCGCGAAAGCGUGGGGAGCAAACAGGAUUAGAUACCCUAGUAGUCC
rnacentral:rRNA from 1 species